CUUCUGAACAGCCGGGGCCGUACCCUUACCUGCCUACAACGCCCGGCUUCCAGAAAACGGCUUUGUGAAGAGGUGUCAAUGUGUCGGUCUUUUCUGUAGAGGUCAUGAUCUUAUUACCUUUCCUGUAGUACCAACCAUCAGAACUACAGCUGAAGGAGGGUGAAUGCAUCAGGGAACUGAUGGCACUCAGCUAUGUCAUGCACGCAGGCAAGCAACGGAGAGGUGCAGCUCCCUCAGUCUGGUGCAUUAGACAAAGCAAAUUUCCACCACCGUGCAGAGCGUCCUUCUUUCACAAAUGACUAAGUUCAGGGCAUGAGGCCUUCUAGGAGAAGGGAAGAUGAAUGUUUUGUGACAUCAGGAGCCAUUUAUGCUCUAAAAUAGAAGGAGCUGCAGCUUGGGUGACAAGCAUUCCUUGUGGCUGGUUUGUGGGCAGGAGAGUGUUUGUGAUACAAGAACAGGCUGGGCUCUAUGCUGAAAGGUGCAAGAUACUCCAAGAUUGGCACUGCCUUGGUCAAGUUUUAACUUCUGCAUUCUGCAUGACUCCUAAUGGAAGUGGAAAGGUGUAUCUCAGUCAGCCUGAGCCUUGGAUUACAACAGCACUAGUCAGGGACCAAGAGGCUAUCCAAGUCAAAGGGAGUGGUAGGCCCUAUAGUCAAAAGGUUACCCUCAGCAAAAUCCUGCACUAAAACAUAACAUGUCCUUGCAACAUAAUCUCAGAUCCCCCUGUGGUGGUCCACAUAGGUAUCCACCAGCAGAUAGAAGCUGGGAGCCAGGCUGAGGGGCCCAGGCUGACCUGUCUGACGCACUUUGACCCAAAACAUUUCUUCUUGUUUUGUCCGAUGAUACAAAAAGUAAUGCGCCUGGCACAAUCUAGAUGAAGUAGCCUGAGGUGGAGAUAUCACAUAAACUUUUAUGAACAGAUCUAGUACAUAGAUGGAUAAGAUGUGCUGUUUAGGGAACAACAUUCAAACCAGUUCAUGAUCUCUCAAGUAGCGCAAGUGUACGUGGCCCAGCCUAGGCAUGCAUCAGAUGUGAUGUAGUCUUACAGUGGAGAAUACAGAACCGAUUGCUGAGUGGCUCUGCAGGAACCACCUUGGGUCUGGUGAAGCCAGCAGUGAACUGCAGGAAUUAAUUCCCAGCUGAUGCGAGGCUAGGUCUCGUAGAGACAUCAAACUGAUCCCUUUCUCUUACACAUAACUGGCAUUACCAAGCUCCUUGAGUCACAGAGAAGAGGCUGCAUGCUUUUGAAGUAUCCACACACAAAUAAAGCAAUGCAAUUA